UACGUAGGGUCCGAGCGUUGUCCGGAAUUAUUGGGCGUAAAGGGCUCGUAGGCGGUUUGUCACGUCGGGAGUGAAAACUCAGGGCUCAACCCUGAGCGUGCUUCCGAUACGGGCAGACUAGAGGUAUGCAGGGGAGAACGGAAUUCCCGGUGUAGCGGUGAAAUGCGCAGAUAUCAGGAGGAACACCGGUGGCGAAGGCGGUUCUCUGGGCAUUACCUGACGCUGAGGAGCGAAAGCAUGGGGAGCGAACAGG
rnacentral:rRNA from 1 species